rnacentral:rRNA from 1 species
UACGGAGGGUGCGAGCGUUAAUCGGAAUUACUGGGCGUAAAGCGCGCGUAGGCGGCGUGAUAAGCCGGUUGUGAAAGCCCCGGGCUCAACCUGGGAACGGCAUCCGGAACUGUCAGGCUAGAGUGCAGGAGAGGAAGGUAGAAUUCCCGGUGUAGCGGUGAAAUGCGUAGAGAUCGGGAGGAAUACCAGUGGCGAAGGCGGCCUUCUGGACUGACACUGACGCUGAGGUGCGAAAGCGUGGGUAGCAAACAGGAUUAGAAACCCUCGUAGUCC